rnacentral:rRNA from 1 species
GACGAACCGUGCGAACGUUGUUCGGAUUCACUGGGCUUAAAGGGCGCGUAGGCGGCCAACUAAGUCAGACGUGAAAUCCCUCGGCUUAACCGGGGAACUGCGUCUGAUACUGGAUGGCUUGAGUUUGGGAGAGGGAUGCGGAAUUCCAGGUGUAGCGGUGAAAUGCGUAGAUAUCUGGAGGAACACCGGUGGCGAAGGCGGCAUCCUGGACCAACACUGACGCUGAGUGAGCGAAAGCCAGGGGAGCAAACGGG